rnacentral:rRNA from 1 species
GCCCCACCCACCUAGAGGAGCCUGUUCUAUAAUCGAUGACCCCCGCUUAACCUCACCACUUCUUGCCAAUACCGCCUAUAUACCACCGUCGCCAGCCCACCCCGUGAGGGAAAUAGUAGGCACAAUGAUAAGUCACCAAAACGUCAGGUCAAGGUGUAGCGUAUGAAGUGGGAAGAAAUGGGCUACAUUCUCUAACCUAGAGCACACGAAAAAUCAUAUGAAAUUAGAUCAGAAGGAGGAUUUAGUAGUAAAAAGAAACAAUAGUGUUCUUUUUAAGUUGGCCCUGGGGCGCGCACACACCGCCCGUCACCCUCUUCAACUAAUAAAACACGAUUUAUAAAACAUAAAACAAACACAAGAAGAGGUAAGUCGUAACAUGGUAAGUAUACCGGAAGGUGUGCUUGGAAUUAC